AUACGUAGGGGGCAAGCGUUAUCCGGAUUUACUGGGUGUAAAGGGAGCGUAGACGGUGUGACAAGUCUGAUGUGAAAACCCGGGGCUCAACUCCGGGAUAGCAUUGGAAACUGCCAUACUUGAGUGCAGGAGAGGUAAGCGGAAUUCCUAGUGUAGCGGUGAAAUGCGUAGAUAUUAGGAGGAACACCGGCGGCGAAGGCGGCUUACUGGACUGUAACUGACGUUGAGGCUCGAAAGCGUGGGGAGCAAACAGGAUUAGAUACCCUGGUAGUCCACGCGGUAAACGAUGAAUACUAGGUGUUGGGGGUCUAUAGACCCUCGGUGCCGCAGCAAACGCAAUAAGUAUUCCACCUGGGGAGUACGUUCGCAAGAAUGAAACUCAAAUGAAUUGACGGGG
rnacentral:rRNA from 1 species